GGGCAUGUGGUCUAGUGGUAUGACGUCUGCUUCGCAUUCUAAUUGCGACCGAACGGGCUUCGUUGUCUCGAUUAGCAGAAGGUCCCGGGUUCAAGUCCCGUCUUGUCCA